rnacentral:rRNA from 1 species
UACGGGGGGGGCAAGCGUUGUUCGGAAUUACUGGGCGUAAAGGGCUCGUAGGCGGCCAACUAAGUCAGACGUGAAAUCCCUCGGCUUAACCGGGGAACUGCGUCCGAUACUGGAUGGCUUGAGGUUGGGAGAGGGAUGCGGAAUUCCAGGUGUAGCGGUGAAAUGCGUAGAUAUCUGGAGGAACACCGGUGGCGAAGGCGGCAUCCUGGACCAAUUCUGACGCUGAGGAGCGAAAGCCAGGGGAGCAAACGGG